GGCCAGAAGGCAGCUGGUUGUUUCCCUGACCUUGCCUUUCAGUGUUGGCCUUGGGCAAAGGAGGAGAGGCAGGAGAGUUUCCCGACAUGGAGGUGGUACAGAUUCCUUGAGGGAGCCGGAUGGGUCAGGUGCUGGCUGAUCCUGCAAAAGGGUUUCCUACCAGGAAUUGCGUGGAAAGCCAGCUCUUGAAGGUCGUGCUGAACUCCCCUUGCACCACCUCCUCAUCCUUCGUACCACCCCACCUUAAGAAUUACACUUGGGAGGAUGCCAAGCCCUCUUCCGUCCAGGAGGGGCAGACGCCCUAGGACUGCACAGCUUCCCUGGAAACUCCUGACUUCUACAUGGCUGUUUGACAUUUUGCAAGAUCACAGUCCUGUUCUGCACACUGGGUGCUCACGUGAAACCCCAAGGCCUGGUUGUGACCAUAGAGAGCAAAGGCAGAAACACCAGCGGAUCCUUUUUUCUUGGCAUUUAGUGUUCUUCGCCCACACCCAGCUGCGCGGGACAAAAUGCUCACCAGAACGGAAGCUGGAGGAUCUCUUUGCUGUGGAGCUGGGCCCGCGGCGCCACCACAUCCCAGGGGCAAGACGCAGGCAAGUGAAGCAGCUUGUCUUCCACAGGCCGAGCCCCGUGCCUGCGUCAGAUCCCAGCCAGGAGGCACGUGCCCCGGAGAGAGAGGCCAGACUGACCCAGGCAUGGCCCGCAGUCCUGUGACACUGCGUGACCACCUUGAAUAACGGCAGAUGCUGCAACAGGAGGUCGUUGGAGGAGCAGGCUGGGCUGCUUUCUUCCCAGGAGAACACACAUGGCCAAGAAGUUGGCAGGGAACAGAUGGCAUAGACAGGAUACAGGGGACGAGAACGGUCACACGAAGACCACUGAUGCUUUCCAGGUUGCACCAUCAGCCUUCUUGUCACAAAUCACAGACCCUUCCUUCUUGCUUGGCUAAGCAGAAAAGGACUUGUUUCUAAAGCAUAUUAGAUAGCUUGCGGAACCUUCAGGAUGGCCAGAGAAGCAGGCGUGGGGGUUAUGGUUGGAUUACACCCUGAAUCACCACUGCCUCGACCACCCAGGGUGCCCUACCCUCCCCAGAACGGCCUUCUAGCGCCACAUCACAGCUCCCCCCAGGCACCCUAACUGGCAGCGUCUUGUUCACAGCCUGUGCCCUAGAUGAGAGGGGACCCUGGAAAGUUUUGGGCUACUUCAAGAGGCACAGACUCCCGGGCAUGGUGUCCAGAUGUGCUGGGUGGCCCAAAAGGAUGACAUAAAUCCAUGAUAGAAAAGGUAUAGUCAACAGCUCUGCUAGACUCAAGUCUUCCAGCACCCACUAGGCCACUUCUGCCCUCUUCUCCGCUCCCUCCACACCCUUGUGGGUGCCCAGGGGAGAUAGGCUUGCCUCUGUGUCACUGUCCCUUGGUUCCACACACUGACUAUGAUCUUUUGAGGAAGCUGUUGGCUGGGAGGAAGCACUAGAUCCAGAGUCCCGCACAUCCUGGAAAUGUGUUUGAGGAAGGCCUCUCUGUACCUUUCGGCCUUGUGGAUAAAAGGGCGUAGGAGACAAACCACCCAGCAUGGUUUAUGACUCAAGCGUAGUAGUAAGUGUGGAAAUACUUUUAAAACUGCAGAAUACACUUGUGGUUUAAGUCACUGUUGUCACUUAAGGAGCGCAGUCACCAGCAUGCCCUAAGGCAUGUGUCACACCUGACUGUGGCCCUAACCCUUGCAUGUCAGAAUGUAAGAGAAACCACUGAAAUU